GGGAGGCCGCGGCCAUGGCGUUCUCGGCGGAGGCGCUGCGGAAGCAGCUGGGCAAGUACAAGUUCAGAGACCUGACCGUAGAGGAAGUGACGGCUGUCAGCAGGGCGCACCCGAACUUCUCCUUCUCCAUGAACACUUACACCUUCAAGGAUGGAUCCCAGAAAGACCUCCUGAAUUUCAGUGGCACUGUCCCAGUGAAAUAUGGUAACUCCUAUAAUAUACCCAUUCGUCUGUGGAUUUUGGACUCUCAUCCCUUUGCUCCUCCCAUUUGCUUCCUGAAGCCGACUGCCAACAUGGGCAUUGCAGUGGGGAAGCAUGUGGAUGCUCACGGCAGGAUUUAUUUGCCCUAUCUGCAGAACUGGAGCCAUCCUAAAUCAACUAUCAUUGGAUUAAUCAAGGAAAUGAUUGCAAAAUUUGAGGAGGAGCUGCCUUUGUAUUCACUGUCAUCUUCUGAUGCAGACAGGCAAUCAGAACUUCUCUCCUACAUCGCAAGGAUUACUGAAGGAGAGACUGACAUAAAAUCAAAGAGUAAAAUGGGUGGAGUGAAAAACGGAGGGUGCUUUAACAAAGUGACUGUGGUUGGAGCUGGAGAUCUCGGCAUUGCAUGUGUGCUGGCGGUUGCAGCAAAGGGUGUUGCUGACAAGGUGGUUCUUCUGGAUCUUUCUGAAGGUGCAGCAAAAGGAGGAACCAUGGAUUUGGAGAUCUUUGCUUUGCCAAACGUAGAGAUCAGCAAAGAUUUUUCAACUUCAACUGAUUCAAAAGUUGUGGUGCUUACAGUGAACUCUCUGGGUAAUGCUCAGACAUACCUGGAUGUCAUACAGAGCAAUGUGGAUUUGUUCCGAGGAAUUAUCCCAGCAAUAUCGCACUACAGUCAGAACUCCGUGCUGCUUGUUGCUUCUCAGCCAGUUGAAAUUAUGACAUAUGUAUCAUGGAAGCUGAGCGCAUUUCCCAAAAGCAGAGUUAUUGGAGUAGGUGGCAAUCUGGAUACUGAGAGAUUUCAGUACAUACUCACAAAGCUUUUGCAAGCAGAGACGCUGGGAAAAGAUGCUUGGAUUGUUGGUGAACAAGGGGAAGACAAAGUACCAUCAUGGACCAGCUCUAAGUCAGUUCUAAAUGAAACAGAAACAAUUGCUGCUCAUGACUCCAGGGAAAAGGUGGCUAACAGAGCUGUGGAAGUUCUCAAGGGAAAAGGUCAGAGAUCCUGGUCUGUUGGGCUCUCAGUUGCUGAUUUAACUGACAGUAUCCUGAAAGAUAAAAGGAAGGUUCAUUCUGUAUCCACUCUUGCGAAGGUAAUGUGUUAUUAAUAUCUUCUGGUUGCCACUACAGUGGUGUGAUUUACAUUGGAUGUGAUAGUUAAUUUGUAUCAGCACAGACCUGCUGCAUAAAGCAGCUGUUUGGAAGUAGCAUUAUGGUUACUGCUGUCUUCCAACAGGAGUUUUUUAAUUCCAGUCCAGAUGAAGUACAGAUCAGUUGUUGCGUUAACCUGAAACCAACAUUGGAAGUAGAUUGUUUUCAAAACAAAUAGAAGCAUUUGGGGGAAAAUGUGUUCAUGUUUGCUGACCAGCUCCCCAGGAGCAGCUCAGUUUGGCAAAUGAAGAGAAAUGCGUCACAGUUUCCAAGUGUUCGGUGUAUAUUUUUCCAGGGGCCAAAAGAGUUCAGUAUCACUUAGGAAAGUAUCAAAUGCAUUUCCUGCCAGUACUUUAUUUGACCAGCUUUGAAAGGUUUAUCUGCUUUUGCAUUCUUUAGAUGAUUAAGGUACAUGUAAUGUCAUACAAGGUUUAGCCCACAGUUUUAAGUUCAUCCAAAGAGGCUUCACUAAAGUUUUAAGGCAUUUCAGAGGAGGGAAAAAAGUUAUAGAAACCAUUAUUGGCUGCUUCUAUGCCCCUCACGGUUCUCAGUGCAGGGAAAUGGAGCGCAAAACUCUUCUUACUGUAUCAAUUAUAACAGAUAUACUGCUAAUUUCAUCAUUUUUUCAAGUCAAGUUUGUAAUUGUCUACAAAUGAAACACAAAAGUAGAGGAAUGCCACGUCUCUUAAACUGUAGAGUAACUACAGAAUGUAAAAUUUCACAUACAGCUCCUAUAAAGAAACAAAACCUGUACUUGUAGUGGAAAUGCUAAGUCACAGUUUGAAGCAGUGAUUGAGCACCUGGUGGGAAGGCAGGGCCAACCCAGGGGAGCUCAUGUGUAUGCAGUGUGUCUGAGUGACCAGAAGGGGUGGAGCCAGGAUCUGCCCCUUCCCAGACCUCUUUGAAGGGUUGGCUCUGCAGGGGAGGGCAUCUCUUGCUGGAGAUUCCUGCCUACCUGAGGCCUUCCAAAGGGAUUUUGCAGUAUAAACAGUGAAGUAUUCUUAAGCCUUCCAUGUGUUCUUGGAACCAGUGGAGUAAUUGAAACGAUCACACUAGAAGAAGAUCCGCUGGUACAAGAGAAACU